AUUGAACGCUGGCAGCAGGCUUAACACAUGCAAGUCGAACGAGUGGCGAACGGGUGAGUAAUGUCUGGGCACCUGCCUGGUGGCGGGGGAUAACUACUGGAAACGGUAGCUAAUACCGCAUACCAUCGGAUGUGCCCAGAUGGGCUUAGCUAGUCGGUGGGGUAACGGCUCACCUAGGCAACGAUCCCUAGCUGGUUUGAGAGGAUGACCAGCCACACUGGGACUGAGACACGGUCCAGACUCCUACGGGAGGCAGCAGUGGGGAAUAUUGGACAAUGGGCGCAAGCCUGAUGCAGCCAUGCCGCGUGUAUGAAGAAGGCCUUCGGGUUGUAAAGUACUUUCGUCGGGGAAGCGUUACCCGCAGAAGAAGCACCGGCUAACUCCGUGCCAGCCGCCGCGGUAAUAC
rnacentral:rRNA from 1 species